AGCAAAGAUGGAUUCCUGCAUCCCUACC
rnacentral:sRNA from 1 species